UACAGAGGGGGCAAGCGUUAUUCGGAAUUAUUGGGCGUAAAGGGCGCGUAGGCGGCUUGGCAAGUGAAUGGUGAAAUCCCUCGGCUUAACCGAGGAACUGCCGUCCAAACUGCUUCGCUUGAGACCGGGAGAGGUGAGUGGAAUUCCCAGUGUAGCGGUGAAAUGCGUAGAUAUUGGGAGGAACACCAGUGGCGAAGGCGGCUCACUGGACCGGUACUGACGCUGAUGCGCGAAAGCGUGGGGAGCAAACGGG
rnacentral:rRNA from 1 species